AAAAUAAGAGAACCUCAAAUGUCUCUCAGAUAAAUAAACUCCAAAAAAGAAAUGGACCGAGACAGGAGCAAGUUGGUUCACCAAGAAGGACCUAAACACAGACGCACGGACCUGCCUCCAAUUCAACAUUCUGUCAGCCAGGGGGACAGGACUCUGCGUCGGUCACCUCUCCCCACUCGUGAGCUGCGAGGAUGACGGGAGGCAGGGAACGGGGCCCCGCACUCCGAAGGCGGGGGGUCCUUCAGCAAGAGGCUCCUGGGAGGCCGUGGGGCCCAUCACGCCAGACUAUGCUCGCGGCCUCUGGGGAUGCGUCACAACAAAAUCACUGGUCUCUGGCCCGCGGAGGGGAGUGCGGGGAAGGCGCCAGGUCGGUGGAUUAUGGGCUACUGUACCGAACACACAGAGAACGUGCGGAAUGUGCACCGAUGGAAGGCGGGGAAUGGAGACGGUGCGUCCCCGCACCGGAUGGCAGCAGCCCGGCGGGGUCGGUGUGAGCUGCUGGACAUGGAGGGACGCCCAGGGGAUUCUUCUGUGCGCAAGGCUGGACGCGGGGCGUUGUUUCCAGAACGCCCCCUGGACUCACCAUCAAAGAGGCUAAAUUACGCUAAGGAUUUACCUGCUUCUUCCCAUCAGGUGAGGAGCCUGGAGGUGGGUGUCCUUGAGGAUCGGCCUCAUGGCCUGGGCAGCGGCAGUGAGUGGGACCAGCUUAGGGGCCUGAGCAGGAGUCUCCACCUCCUCGGACUGCAGUUUCUCUGGCAGGAAAACGGAGCGACAGCCUGGCAGACCCCCCGGCGCUGCAAGCAGGGCAGACAGGCGGCCUGAGACCCAGGGACCCGACGGUCACGGCCGCUCCGCCAGGCGCAUUCGCGGGCAUGGACCGCCAGUCUCCAGGAGCUCUGUGAAGUGACCAUGCAGCCAACCCUGCUGUCCAGGUGCUGAAAUGGCCCAGAGAGGCUGAGAGACUGCCCCAAAGCCACACAGCGCCCAGGAAGCGGCUGUGUGUCCAAUGCUCCCCCUGUCCUCCUCCCCCCACCAUUAGGAAACUCCGACUCCCAGGAGAUGACAUCCGUGGGUGACUGAGCUCAGAUAGGGCCAUGGGAUGGGACCCCUAGAGCGGAUUUGUGCCCCCAUAGGAAGAGGAAGACGCAGGAGACCCACCGCCACCCCGCAGACCCAUGCAACUACAGCAACAAGUCCGCAAACCAGCAGGGGGGUCUGGCCGGGACAUGAGCACGGAGCCACGCGAUCCCGGGCAGCCAGCCUCCAGCACUGCGAGGACUGAUCCCCGCCAUCUCAGCCGCCCAGUCUAGGGCAGCCCCAG
rnacentral:lncRNA from 1 species